AAUCAACGCUGGCGGCGUGCCUAACACAUGCAAGUCGAACGCGAAAGCCCCGCAAGGGGUCAGUAGAGUGGCAAACGGGUGAGUAACACGUGGGUGAUCUGCCUCAGAGUGGGGGAUAACGACCCGAAAGGGUCGCUAAUACCGCAUAACAUCCUGCCUUUGGAUAGGUGGAGAUCAAAGUUGGGGAUUCGCAAGAACCUGACGCUUGGAGAGGAGCCCGCGGCCGAUUAGCUAGUUGGUGAGGUAACGGCUCACCAAGGCGACGAUCGGUAUCCGGCCUGAGAGGGCGGACGGACACACUGGGACUGAGACACGGCCCAGACUCCUACGGGAGGCAGCAGUGGGGAAUCUUGCGCAAUGGGCGAAAGCCUGACGCAGCGACGCCGCGUGAGGGAUGACGG
rnacentral:rRNA from 1 species